rnacentral:misc_RNA from 1 species
ACAAUAUUAUGAGCCUAAGAAAGCUGUUUUAGGGAUUUGGUAAAUUCUGGGAACGUCGCUUCAAAGUCUUAAUCGCAACAACAAUAACAACAAGGCCACUGACUCUCUGAAAAGUGUUGCCAAGAAAAACAGCGGUUUUUAUGGGACUCUCAGGACAAAAGCCCAAGCUGUUUUGUAACCGAAAUAAGACCCAAAGAAGAUGAAUUCAAUGCUUGCAUAACCGUCGCCUCUUUCUCUUUCUUUUUCUUUCGCCAUUAAUGGGGUAGCCUUUUACUGCUUCAACACUUUUCCCUUGAUCUUGUUUUUAUUACUAUAUAUUUUCUUUAACACUCCACUGGGAUUCUAUUCUUUACUCUCUCUGAUGGCUCAUGUUGAGACUAAUUUCGGGGCUGCUUCGAUUUCUCAUGAUGAAAGAGGAGGAGAUGAUCUGUAUAAGGAACUAUGGAAGGCAUGUGCAGGUCCAUUGGUGGAUGUUCCAGUGCCUGGAGAGAGAGUUUUCUAUUUUCCUCAGGGUCACAUGGAACAACUGGAAGCAUCAACAAAUCAGGAACUGACUCAACAAAUCCCACGGUUUAAUCUUCCUUCCAAGAUCCUUUGCCGAGUUGUUAACAUUCAACUACUGGCAGAACAAGAGACAGAUGAGGUUUAUGCUCAGAUCACUCUGCACCCAGAACCAAAUCAAGCAGAGCCUACAAGCCCAGACUCCUGCUCGCCUGAACCACAAACGCCAACUGUUCAUUCAUUUUGCAAAAUUUUAACGGCUUCUGAUACUAGCACCCAU